CCGUCUGGUGAUGUCCAUGGGUAGAGUCAUCUCUUGGGUUGUUGGAAAAGAAUGUUUGCUAUGACCAUCAUAUUCUCUUGAUGAAAUUCUAUCAGCCUGGGCCCUGCUUCAUUUUGUACUCUAAGCCUGUUAUUCCGGUUAUCUUUUGGCUUCCUACUUUAGCAUUCCAAUCCCCCAUGAUGAUAAGGACAUCAUUUUUUGGUGUUAAUUCUAUAAGGUGCUGUAGGACUUCAUAGAACCGGUCAAUUUCAUCCUCUUCAGCACCAACAACUCCUGGGA